rnacentral:lncRNA from 1 species
GUUCCCCCCUCCCCCCCUCUUUCAUUUCUCUUUCAACUUUGGAGACAACAUUUCAGUCGUUCGUCAGCUGCUGAUGAGCCGCCACCCAUGGGGAGCUAGCUGGCGACCUCACCUCUCUCCCCUCCCGAUCUCCCUUCUUCUUCGUCAUGUUACCUCGCCGGAAACUUCUAAAGCUCUAGAUCGGGUCAAAAAUGGCAGAUCCGGCGGAUGCCGUUUAGUUUAUGACUUUCCGGCUGGUCUUCAUUCACUUGUUCGCUGAUUUGUUUGACAUGUUUGAGUCCAGGCGAUGCUCCGGUGUUCUCUGUUGAAGAAGCGCCGCUAGCUUUGAUUUUCCGGCGACUCUUUGCUUCGCCUUUGUUUUGCCAUAUUUUCUGGCGACCACCAUUGCAACUGGCAGACCCUUUUCGUCUCUGUUCCUUCUAUUUGUUUAUACUGUUAAUACAAAAAAAUGCGAUCUGAAAAAGGGGGUUUCGUUUGUUUGGUUGUUUUUUUGGCAGAUUCCGGAAAAUUGAAUUUUCUGGCGACCUGUGUAUAUUCCGGCGAGCCCUUUCCGUCUCUGUUUCUCUUGCUAUCUUGUGGUUUAUUUUGGCUAAUACCAUAUUGAUGUUGUUCUGUUUUAAUGUUGUCCGACGAUUGUAGCCUUGCGAAACUCUUUUGGAAAUGAGUUUUUUGGUUGCUUUUGAUCACUGUUAUACGUUGCUAAAAUUUGGAUUGGUUUUCGUUUGUUGGUUCGGACAAUAUUCUGAUUUUGUUGAGUUGGUUUGCUUUAGAAAUCGAAGCUAGACCAAGACACUAAAUUAUUGGAAUUUUAGAGUUUGUCCAUCACAGUGAAAUUGGCCAAAGAGAAGACAAAAAUCUAGUCUAAUGUUCCCAUUUUCGCUUUGUAACUUGUUUGUUGGUGUAACGAUCCGACUGAUCGUUUUGAGUAUUUGCUUUCCGUUUGGUGGUUUAAGGUUUCGAGUAGUUUUGUACUAUGUAUUAUGACUUGCAUGUAUGGCCAGGCCGACUGAUCAUUUUGAGUAUUUGCUUUCCGUUUGGUGGUUUAAGGUCUCGAGUAGUUUUGUACUAUGUAUUAUGACUUGCAUGUAUGGUCGGGUUUAUUUUUUGGAUGAUUUGGAAG